rnacentral:tRNA from 6 species
ACCCCGGUAGCUCAGCUGGCAGAGCAACGGAUUGUUAAUCCGUAGGUCACUGGUUCGAUCCCAGUCCGGGGUGC